AGACAAAUCAUUCUUUCAUUUUUGUUUCUAUAGUUUUGGUGGUUGUCGUACCCUAUGUUGCUCGGACUCUUCAAAAAUGUCAGCAAGUGAGUGUCGGAUUUUCCAAAAGUAGUGUAUUUUUGGAGAAUCCGAAACGGGUGCGGGAUCAAAGUGAAGAAUCCGCGCAACUUAGGUUGUACCCCUUUAAUUUCUAUAAUCCCUUCAUGUUACAUCUUCUAUGUAGCAGCCGCAGAAUUCAAUCAACGAUAUGGAGUUCAAAAGCUUUUUCAUAUUGAGAAGGAUGUAUGAAACAAAAGAUUUACUAACCCUCUUCUUGCAAAGCUGUCGGGACUGAAGUAGUGUAAUGAAUGAGUCACUUAAAAUAUUGAAAGCACGUAAGAACUUAAAUACAAACUUUGUUAAACGUAAUCCCAAAGAAAUCAAUUACAAUGAUAUAACAAAAACCACUUCUAUGCAACUAUCAUAACUAAUAUGUAUGUUGAGCAAAUACAAAGUAUUUUUAGAUUUGAGGGAGUUUCGCUUAAUCGACAUAAACCAUGUGUGCAACAUGAAGUCCUGUAACGCCCCAUAAAAACCGUGCAUGUAUUACAAUGACAAGCAUUAAGAGUAAGAAACUUGAAAUUUAUUCUAAGUGUAACAAGGACUUAGAGUCAUUUUAGCUGGCAAUCUUCGGGAUACAACUUUUCAACCUUCCCGACAUCCGUUUUUGGAUUUUCUUGUUGCGUUGCGAUGGGGCAAGGUUAUAGUACGUCUCGGAGGAGUUUCGGAAUUUUUAGACGAGCCUAAGGUCGUGUUUGGGUUGGUAAAACAGUAGCUCUCCGCGAUAAGGGGGCGUCGCCCAGCUUAGAGAGCCUCUCUAAGCAAGGUGCUGCCCUAGUUAGGGAGCCUCUCAGAGCAGGGCGCCGCCCUGCCAGUCCCGGGGGUUACCCAUUUUUCAGCUUCCAGCCUCCGAGCGUUUGAGAGUGUUUUGGUCAUUUCCCCCUACUCUAUCAACUUAAACACGGGAUUUAAUCCCUCAAACACCAACAUAUCAUCACAUUCAUCAAAUUAUCCCAAGAAUACUCCCUAGAGUUUCAAAUAAAAAUCCAAGCAACUUAAGAUUCAACCGUGAGUUUUUGAAAUAAAUUUCAUAUUUGAAAUCCCCAGAACGUAGGCUUCAAGAAGCACCUAUCAUCUUCGCAUAUAGAGGUACGUGGGGUUAUCUCAAAAAUCUCAUGGGCUUUAAAAUUCAUGUUUUCAAAAUGGGGGUUUUGAAAUUACGAAUAUGAUUAUGUUUUAAAUGUUUUAUGAUAUUGAUUUGGUUUUUAGGCCUAUUCCCGAAGUGAUUUGAUAUAUGAUAUACGUAUAUGUAUGUAUUUUGAAAAGAUGUGAACUUGAGAGCAUGAAUUAUACGAAAUCCCUCUCUUGAUAUGAUUUUGUUUUAUAUUUUCAUAGGAUGUGAACUAUUUGAAAUCAUAUUGAAAGGCAUGACAUGAAAUGUUUUGAACAUUGUUAUGAUUUGGGCAUGAUUUUGACUUACCACGAGAGAUACAUGAUGAAUAUAAUGGUUGCAUGAAAGAAUGAUAUGAUUUGAUGGCUUGCAAGUCAGGUAUGACGAUACCCUACAGAAUAUGAUAUGUGAUUGAAGUAAAUGAAGUUUGAAUGCAUUGAUUUUACAUGAGAUAGGUGGAUGCCCGAAGAAGGCGUUUGAGUGUAAGGGCUCAUCGCUGGAAACCGUGUUUGCUGACAUGGGAAUUUGGUACCAGGCUAAGUGAUCUUGUGUACUUGACUUUAUGUCAUUCCCAAAUUGGGACUAUGGGUAGGAGCCCGGGCUAAGUGAUCUUGGGCACUACCAUUGGGUCGAGACACCAUACUGUGUGAUCUUGUGUGUCUUCCCCUCACUUAUACUCUAAUCUCGGCGACAACCGAGGUUUGACAGUUGGUGUAAAUUAUGUAGGGUAUUCCACCUAGCUCAGUUGCAUUACAUUGUUGAUGAAAACUAUUACAUUAUGCCCAUGUGUUUUCAAAUGAUUUAAUAUGAAACUGCUUUUAUAAUGGCUCUCACCAAUAUUUGGUAAAAGUAUUAUGUUUUGUUUUGAUUUCUCUGCGUACUAGUACUUUUGUAUUGACCCCCUUCCCUCCCAGGUUUGGAGGUACAGUCUAGGGAUCCAGAUAACCAGUAGAUUUCUCCCGACAGAUCACAGAAUCAAGUGGUGAGCCUUCUAUAUUUCGAAAGGCCUGAUGUCUGCUAUUUCAUUUAUCAUUUAUUAGUUUUGGGUCUACUGGGGGCCUUGUCCCUGUUUUCAGAUAGACAUUUCACAGACGGUUUUCCAGAUGUUGACAGAGAUUGUGGGACACUAUUUCCCAUUGUUGAUUUUAUGUGAUUUUGACCAUGUUUCCGUAAUACUGUUUAUCUUCCGCAUUUCUCUUAUCAUAUAAAUGAUGUGCGGGACACUAUUUCCCAUUGUUGAUUUUAUGUGAUUUUGAUCAUGUUUCCGUAAUACUGUUUAUCUUCCUCAUUUCUCUUAUCAUAUAAAUGAUAUGCAUGAUCACCAGACAGAUAGGGGUGUUUCGGGCCUUUAUGGUUCGGAAUACUCAUCACGGCCAGGGCCCAGGUUCGGGUCGUGACAAGUCCAAUGUCUUGCCCGCGUUGAGAAGAGCCGUUCAACACCUUGCAUUAAAGGGCAUAUGUCACGACUAGAGCCAAGGCCCUGGCUGCGAUGGGCAUCCCGAACCACGAAGGUCCGAGAGACCCCUGUAACGGCCCAACCCACUAGUGAUAUUGUCCGCUUUGGGCUCAGGCCCACACGGAUUUAAAACGCGUCACUAGAAAGUAAUGCUUGCUUACUCAUAUACCCAACAUCCCUCCUGUGUUUUGCCGAUGUGGGACUCUUUAUCCUAAAUUGGGAUGUUACAUACACGCCUUAAUGGACACCCCCUUAUGGACGCGAGGUUUGCCCCACCGAAUGGGAUUUUCCUUAUCCUAAGUUGGGAUGUUACAUACACCCCCUAAUGGACACCCUCUUAUGGACGCGAGGUUUGCCCCACCGAAUGGGAUUCGGCUACACUCAGUUUGAACUAUGACCCACAUUGACAGGGCUGACAUAAGAGCGACUCUGAUACCAUUCUUGUCACGGCUCGAACCGAGGUCCUGGCCGCAACGGGCAUCCCGAACCACGAAGGCCCGAGAGACCCUGUAACGGCCCAACCUACUAGUGAUAUUGUCCGCUUUGGGCCCAGACCUGCACAACUUUAAAACUCGUCACUGGGGAGUAAGGCUUGCUUACUCACAUACUCAGCAUCCCUCCUGUGUUUUGCCAAUGUGGAACUCCUUAUCCUAAGUUGGGGUGUUACAGCAUGUGACCUCGAACUCAUACCCAAGUCAAAGCUAAAUAAUCCCUCUCAAAACAUAAUAGUUGCUCAUAUCAUAAGUCUUAAAAAUAUUUUUCUUAAAUCAUACUAGUCUUCUAAAAUAUUGUAUCAAGAAACAUAUCAUUCUCUACGAGCUUUCUCUCUAUAAUUCGGUAUAAAUUGCUUUUAUUUUUCAAGAUACGAUAACUUCUUUUCACUUUUCACUUUUCAAGUCAUGGUAUAAUACAUAAGGGGUUUCACAAUUUUUUUCAUAAAUGGACUUCUUGUUAAACUUAUUGGAGCAUGAAAUCAAUUUUCAAUACAAAUUCCCAAAUCAUAAACUUUAUGUGAAAACUAACUCUUGGUUAUGGAAAUUAAAUGUAAGUUCAAGAACUACCUUAACACGGGAAAUAAUAUACAAUGCUGAAAGCAAAUAAAAGAAAAUUCUAACAAAUUACCUCAAGAAGGACACUUAGAAUAUUUGAAUCUUUAAACCCUAACUUGAAAUUAUGACUUAAUUUGUG
rnacentral:lncRNA from 1 species